GAAAAAUUGGGCGGCUCCUAAAAAUUUGGGAGCGGCAGAUUUCCCCCCUUUUCUCUUUUCAGUAGACACGCAUACACACACUCACAUUUCACUCCACAAACUCAUCUCACUGCAGACACUCACCUCAUUCUCUCCGCUGAAACUCACCGCUCUGGCCUUGAAUUGAAUUGGGAUUUCACCGGAAUUAGGGCUUAAAUAGCUUUUUACUUUAAUUGGGGCUUCGAUUUGCUUGGAUUUAAGUUCUUUUUCUAGUGUAGUUGUUGAGGCACUUGGGUAGUUCAACCUCACAACUUCAUUUUGUAAAUUGAGGGGAUUGUUGUUUUCUUGAAUUUUACAGAAAAGAGAAGAAGAUAUAAAAUAAAUGGUGUGUAUGCUUCUUUGUUUUGAAUUGGUGCUCCUAAAGCUCUGGUUAUCGGAGUUGUGGCUUUGUUGUUUUUUGGUAAAGAUCUUGUUGAGGUGAGUUUCUUUACUUUGAGCUUGAGGUAUAUAUGCUUUACAAUUUUUGUUUGAUGCUUAUGUAACAUUUGUGGCAUCUAUGGGUAAUGAUUGUCUCAAGGUCAACAUGUACUUUGUGAGAGUCUACAGGUAUUCAAAGAUGGCUACUGAUAAAGAAAUUCCUGAGGUAGUCCCUUUAUUGCAAAACAGUAUUUGCAUAUACUGGUGAUUGGUAUGUCGACAAAAAUAAAUACCUGGUGACUGUGUUAUUAAUAAUUGCUAAAAUCAGUUUCUCCCACAAGCAUGAAAUUGGAAAAUAAUAAUUAAAUACACCAUGAUGAAAAAAAAAUUAGGCCAUAUAUGUAAAGUGCUUAUGUUAUCUUUAUCUAUCCUUAUUUUUUGUGUGCUUGAACAUUGUAGUGUGACCAAUUAGAGAUGUGUACUUGAGAUCAAGAUGAGCACUGAGGUUCAGCAGGCUUCUAGAGUUGAUCAUGGAAUUCAGACCAAUAUGACGUCCACCUCAUCUGCAGCCCCAACAAUUAGUCCAAAAAUUUCAAGGUUUGCAGCAAAGUCUGGAUUUGUGAUACCAAAAAAUAAGUUGUUAGGCUCGCUGGUACCUGCAUAUCGGGGUAGUAAAAAGCCGGAAGAAACUGCUCCUAUUAGUGACGAAAGUAGUAAACAGACUCGAAGGAAAACAAAAUGGGGGCCUGAUCAGACACAAGAUGCUAAUGUUUCCUUGAUUUUAGUUAGCGAAAUAUGGAUUUGGUAGUUGCUUGGACUUGUGUAGCUAAUUUGUUGUGUAGCUAUGUGGAAUUGGUUGGAUUUGUUGUGAUGUUUGUAUUUAAAUAAUAUAUUUUUAAUUCGUUUUAGUAA